rnacentral:rRNA from 1 species
GACGAACGCUGGCGGCGUGCCUAAUACAUGCAAGUAGAACGCUGAAGAGAGGAGCUUGCUCUUCUUGGAUGAGUUGCGAACGGGUGAGUAACGCGUAGGUAACCUGCCUGGUAGCGGGGGAUAACUAUUGGAAACGAUAGCUAAUACCGCAUAAAAUGGAUUAUCGCAUGAUAAUCCAUUGAAAGGUGCAAAUGCAUCACUACCAGAUGGACCUGCGUUGUAUUAGCUAGUUGGUGGGGUAACGGCUCACCAAGGCGACGAUACAUAGCCGACCUGAGAGGGUGAUCGGCCACACUGGGACUGAGACACGGCCCAGACUCCUACGGGAGGCAGCAGUAGGGAAUCUUCGGCAAUGGACGGAAGUCUGACCGAGCAACGCCGCGUGAGUGAAGAAGGUUUUCGGAUCGUAAAGCUCUGUUGUAAGAGGAGAACGA